AUAUCUUUCUCGGUCUUUUGGCUAAAAUAAAAUGUAAUAUUUAUUCUUAUCAAUUUAACAUCUGAUCUAUAGACAAUAUGCUCACUUUGAUAUUAAAUUUAUUUAUAAUUGGUAUUUUUUUAGGGGAGGGUCCAUAUGACUGAUUUACUUCGUUCAACCAUUGAUUGCAUUGCAGGUACGGGCUCACCCUU
rnacentral:snRNA from 1 species